rnacentral:rRNA from 1 species
GACGAACCUUGCUAACGUUAUUCGGAAUUACUGGGCUUAAAGGGUGCGUAGGCUGUGCGGAAAGUUGGGUGUGAAAUACCUCAGCUUAACUGAGGAACUGCGCCCAAAACUACCGUGCUUGAGGGAGACAGAGGUAAGCGGAACUUAGGGUGGAGCGGUGAAAUGCGUUGAUAUCCUAGGGAACACCGGUGGCGAAAGCGGCUUACUGGGUCUCAUCUGACGCUGAGGCACGAAAGCCAGGGUAGCGAACGGG